CUGUCACAGCACCAUACGAGUGUAGUGGCGUACUUUUUGUAGAACGGACCGGCGAGUUACGAUGUCAAGCGAGGUUAAGAUGAGAAGUCGGAGCCGAAGCGAAAGCGAGUCUGAAGAGGGCGAAAGUUUGACAUAGUAGACCCGAAACCGGGUGAUCUACCCAUGAGCAGGAUGAAGCGUUAGUAAAAUAACGUGGAGGUCCGAACCAGGCAUCGUUGAAAAGAUGUUGGAUGACUUGUGGGUAGGGGUGAAAUUCCAAUCGAACUCGGAGAUAGCUGGUUCUCCUCGAAAUAGCUUUAGGGCUAGCCUUGAAUUAGAUUAUGGGAGGUAGAGCACUGAAUAGGCUAGGGGGCUUCACCGCCUACCGAACCUUAUCAAACUACGAAUGCCGAUAAUUGAUGUUCAGGAGUCAGACUGUGGGGGAUAAGCUUCAUGGUCAAAAGGGAAACAGCCCAGACCGCCAGUUAAGGUCCCAAAAUAAUGAUUAAGUGGAAAACGAUGUGAAAUCGCUCAGACAACCAGGAUGUUGGCUCAGAAGCAGCCACCAUUAAAAGAGUGCGUAAUAGCUCACUGGUCCAGGGGUUUUGCGCCGAAAAUGUAACGGGGCUCAAACACACCACCGAAGCCGCGGAAUGUUUUAGGACAUUGGUAGAGGAGCGUUCUUAAUGCGACGAAGGCGUACCGAGAGGAGCGUUGGAGCGUUAAGAAGUGAGAAUGCCGGUAUUAGUAUGCGAAAAGGCAGGUGAGAAUCCUGCCCGCCGAAAAUCUAAGGAUUCCUGGGGAAGGCUCGUCCGCCCAGGGUAAGUCGGGACCUAAGGCGAGGCCGAAAGGCGUAGUCGAUGGGAAACUGGUAGAUAUUCCAGUACCAGCGGAGGUCAAUUGAGUGAAGUAGUGAAGCAGAAGGAUAGGGAGAGCGCCCAGUUGGUGAGGCGUUUAAGUAAGUAGGGUGAUGUGCAGGCAAAUCCACACAUCGAGAGCCUGAGAUACGAAUACGAGUGAAAACUAGUAGCGAAGUCCCCGAUUCCCGGCUGCCAAGAAAAGCUGCUAACGAGACCGAAGGUGCCCGUACCGCAAACCGACACAGGUAGAUGGGGUGAGAAACCUAAGGCGCGCGAGAAAACUCUUGUUAAGGAACUCGGCAAAAUGAACCCGUAACUUCGGGAGAAGGGUUGCUUAUCAUGGUGAAGGAUAAACAUCUGGAGCUGAGAUAAGUCGCAGAGAAAAGGUCCAGGCGACUGUUUAGCAAAAACACAGGUCAUUGCAAAACCGCAAGGUGAAGUAUAAUGGCUGACGCCUGCCCGGUGCUGGAAGGUUAAGGGGAAGAGUGAGAGCUUUGAACCGAAGCCCCAGUAAACGGCGGCCGUAACUAUAACGGUCCUAAGGUAGCGAAAUUCCUUGUCGGGUAAGUUCCGACCCGCACGAAAGGCGUAACGAUCUGGACGCUGUCUCAACAAGGGACUCGGCGAAAUUGAAAUACCGGUAAAGAUGCCGGUUACCUGCGAUAGGACAGAAAGACCCCAUGGAGCUUUACUGUAGCCUGAUAUUGGGUUUUGGUUAUUAAUGUACAGAAUAGGUGGGAGACUGGGAAGCAUGCACGCCAGUGUGUGUGGAGUCGACGUUGGGAUACCACUCUUUGAUGACUGAAAUUCUAACAUAGCAUCCUGAAUCGGGUGUGUGGACAGUGUCAGGCGGGCAGUUUGACUGGGGCGGUCGCCUC
rnacentral:rRNA from 1 species